rnacentral:tRNA from 1 species
AUUAUGGUAGUGCAAUCGGUUUGCAUAACAGACUGAACAUCUGUAGGUGCGGGUUCAAGUCCCGCUUGAGGUC